CAGGUUCUCCACGUUAAUAGCCACACAGGUCUCAGCUCCGCGAGGCGUGUCUGUGUCCGUGCGUCGCCGCGUCCGUACUCGUCCCGGUGUGCGCCGCGCCGCCCCAAGGGCCUGGUGGUGCGGGUGAUGCUGCAGGGGGCCCCGGGUCAUGGCGGCGGUGGCCUCCCUGGUGACGCGCGUCCGCGGGGUAAUCGGGGCCACCCUGCGGGGCGCCGCGGAGGACAAGGGUGAAAAGGCGCCGCCCUCGGAGCGGCCCGUGACACACCUGCGGCCGCCGCGGCCACACGGCGCCAAGCGGUCGACGCCGCGCCAGGCCCGCCCGCGGCCCCGCCACGAGGGCAGCAUCCGCAGCGUGCGGGAGGGCGUGGCGCUGCACGAGUACCUGCCGCCCAGCCCGCACACAGUGGGCGUUCCCGUGCUGGAGCACCCCCCCACGCCGCGCCGCCACGCCCACGCCCUGCACCACGCCGCCCACGUGCGCCACAACCCCACCGUCGUGUACCCCGCGGAGGGGACGGUGCCCCCGGGAGCAGGCCUUGACGAAGCCGCCCGCCACCAGCGGCGCCGCGGCUCGCAGGGGGAGGCCCUGCAAGUACAGCAGCCGCAGAGCCGCCGCGGCAGUCUGGACUCCCGCGGCCCCGCCGGCCCGCCCCCGCCCGACGAGGCGUGCCGCGACAAGUACGUGACCGGCGGCCGCGACGCCCGGCCCGGCCACGGCCCCAGGUUCGUCCCCGCCAGUCGGGUGCGCGCCCGCCGGCGCAGCGCCUCGCCUCCACCCGCGCGCCGCCACCAGCCCGAGGAGCAGCGGCGGCCCGGCAACGGCAAGGUGACCGCCGCCGCCGCCGCCGCCAGGAGUGACUCAGGCCCCGACGGUGCCGCGUCACGUUCACGUGUGUGGACCAUCCAGAUACAUCCCCCCACCCCCUCCCCCACCACCGGCCCCACGCCCACCCAGAACCCCACCCCGGGCACCGGCCCCUCCCCCGGCAGCAGCACGCCCGCCGCCCCGGGACGCAUGCACGCGGCGGGCCUCGCGCUGCGUCAGUGGCAUCAGCAGCUGAAGCAGGGCGCCGCCACGCGCUGGGGCGCCGCCGUGCAGCAGGCGCCCACCCUGGAGGAGGUGGUGGAGGCGCUGGGCCAGGCACAGGUGAUCGCCCUGGUCUGCGGCAUCAUCACGGCCUUCCUGAUGGUGCUGGCCCUGGCUUCCUCCGACUGGCUGCUGGCGGUGGGGUGGCGGCAGGGGCUGUUUGAGCACUGUGUAGAGCACGGGGCCCCCAAGCCACUGCCCUUCCAGAUCAACGCGGAGCCGGGCUGUCAUCCUGCCAGAGACGAACCGUACAUCAUGGCCAGCGCCGCCCUCUGCGUGAUCUGCCUACUGCUGGACUUCUUCGCGACCAUCAUGACGGGGCUCGGACUCAGCAACAACGACCCGGCUGUGAAGACUCGGUACUAUAGAAUCGCCGUCUGGGUCAUGACUCUCGCCCUGAUCGCCAUCCUCGUCGCCCUCAUCCUGUACCCAGUGUUCUUCGCGCAGGAACUGGAGCUUGGGAACCGCACGCUAUGGGAGUUUGGUUGGGCCUACGGUGUUGGUUGGGGCGCCGCGAUCUUCCUGUUCGGCGCCGUGGUGUUGCUGCUGUGUGACCAGGAGGAGGAGGAGAUCUACUACAAGGAGAGAACCAUCAUCCACGCGGAGAACGACUCCAGGGCCUAAGGUUGAGGCUGUCGGUGGUGUGAAGCAGAGGCCUUGUAGCUCCCCUUACCAAGACCAACCCUCAGUGACGCCUGUUUGCCACUCCUCCGAGGCUGGACGCUUGGGCUCGGCUUGAAGAGUGUGUGAGAGAGGAAAGAAAAGUGUACUUCUACCGUGCCAUCGCUGCCAUUGAUUCCUUGUAACCGCCGGGACUAGACUCUGAGUAGCGGAUGCGAUGUUGGUGAAUGUGGAGUGUGAAGGAAGCGAGUAAGGACGAUGUGGUUGGAUGUAUGUCCCCUGCGAUAACUCGACGUGUGAGUGUGUGCGUAUGUGUGAAGUGCGAGGGAAGUGAGUUUGGACAAAGUGGUAGGAUUUCUGUUCACCGCAAAAGCUCGACAUGUGAGUGUGUGCGUAUGUGUGAAGUGCGAGAAAAGUGAGUUAUGACAAAGUGGUAGGAUUUAUACUCACCACAAAAGCUCGACGUGUGAGUCUGUGUGCGUGUGUAUGUGUGUGUGCGUGUGGGGCCAGCAUGAGAGGACAACUAUCGGCCAUGGAUCGAAAAUAACAAGACGCAGAUGAGGCAAGGAGGACAUCAGUGAAUGACAAGAUGAAAACGCCAAUGAACCUCACAACACACCAACACACACGCUUGCAUACACACAACUGGACGAGGGAGCUCAGCGAUGGACGUCCGGGCAAGCGAAGUGACCUCAUCAUCUCAUCCUAUAAGUCUGGAGGGAAUAGAAGGGAGGAAAAUACUUGUGUUAGCCCAUGAGAAAGAGCAAUGGAGUUUUUUGUUUAUUCUUUUGUUAUUUUUUAUUCCUAGGAUACUUCAAUUUUGCUGUUCCGUCCCUCCUUUUAUGAUAGUCGGCCCUUGAAAAAAACGGACCGCCAGUAUCAGUGACCCCAUGGAGAAACUUUUUAUUUGCUUAUUAUAUUAUUCUCUCUCUCUCUCACUUUUCUCUUACCUUUUUUCUCCUUUUUUCUGUUUAUUUUCAUUAGACGUGAUUCCUAAGUUUGUUUUUCUACUCAUAUAUUCUCUUUCCUCUAUCGUACUUCUCAUUCUUUUCCCUCGGCUGUUUCGAUCAUGCCGUUCCCUCGGUCCCUCAUGGUGGUCUCGCCGUACGUCACAUGCGCUUGACCGAUGUCCGUGUGUGUGUUCGUGUGUUUGGUAUUACAUUGCAGUGACCUCGGCGUUGGCGGGAGGCUGGUGGCAGACUGUCCGUGUGUGGGGUGUUGGCGCGAGUCUGUCUGUCGUUCUUUAUUUUGUAUGCCAUAAGUAUCUGCAGGGUUGCGUUUGUGUCGUUUUACAUCCCGUUUUUUUGUUCCUUUACCCGCAUGCUACAGUGUUUAUUUGGCGGAAAGCCGUUCUUGAUGUGACGAGAUCGAUUUUCGUGUAAGAGACCCGACCUAUGCUUCCUCUUCCUCCGUCACGGUUUUGUCCAGCUUCCCAUUUUUUAUCCCUAUCAUUUUAUACUUGUUAGCGUGCGAUGGUUGAGUUACUUCACAUUGACAGUGGCUUUGAACCUUAAGGAAAGUCACAGUUCCCUCCAGAGCACUGAGGAGGAUAGGCAAGACUGUACCGAGACUUUACAUGGAAAACGAGAAGAUGAAGAAGAGGAAAAAGAAGGAGAGUACUUGUAAACACUGGUAAUAAUGUCUCACGUCUUGCUGAAGGUCGCGUGGAAGAGGAAAGACAAGACUGUACCAAGACUUUACAUACAAAACAGAAGAAGAAGAAGAAGAUCAAGAAGAGGAAAAAGAAGAAGGAGAGUACUUGUAAACACUGGUAAUAAUGUCUCACGUCUUGCUGAAGGUCGCAUGAAAGAGGAAAGACAAGACUGUACCAAGACUUUACAUACAAAACAGAAGAAGAAGAAGAAGAAAAAGGAGAUCAAGAAGAGGAAAAAGAAGAAGGAGAGUACUUGUAAACACUGGUAAUAAUGUCUCACGUCUUGCUGAAGGUCGCAUGAAAGAGGAAAGACAAGACUGUACCAAGACUUUACAUACAAAACAGAAGAAGAAGAAGAAGAAGAAAAAGGAGAUCAAGAAGAGGAAAAAGAAGAAGGAGAGUACUUGUAAACACUGGUAAUAAUGUCUCACGUCUUGCUGAAGGUCGCAUGAAAGAGGAAAGACAAGACUGUUCCAAGACUUUACAUACAAAACGGAGGAUGAAGAAGAAGAAAAAGGAGAAGUUGAAGAAGAAGAAGAAGAAGAAGGAGAACACUUACAAACACUCGUAAUAAUGCCUCAAGUCUUGCUGAAGGUCGCAUGAAAGGUGAAAGGCAAGACUGUCCGAGGCUUUACAUACAAAACAGAAGAAGAAGAAAAGGGAGAAGAUGAUGAAGAGGAAGAAGAAGAAGAGUACUUUUAAACACUGGUAAUGCCUCAAGUCUUGCAGCUGAAUGUCAUGUUGAAGAGGAAUGGCAAGACUGCACCAAGACUUUACAUACAAAACAGAAGACGAAGAAGAAGAAGAAAAAGGAGAAGUUGAAGAAGAAAAAGAAGAAGAAGAAGAGCACUUGUAACACUGGUAAUGCCUCAAGUCUUGCAGCUGAAGGUCACAUGGAGGAGGAGGCAAGACCGUACCGAGACUUUACAUACAAAACGGAAGAUGAAAAAGACGAGGAAAAAGAAGAUGAGCACUUUUAAACACUGGUAAUAAAGCCUCACGUCUCGCUGAAGGUCGCUCCACUUAGCUAAUACUCUCAACCCAUCACUGGCGUCUCAUCUUCGCCGCCUUGAUAUCAACUUUCUUAGUCAGUAAAUUUAGGUAAGACUAGAGUAAACGAGUCUUCGAUAGUCAGAGGUUUUUACUCGAUAAUAAUAAUGAUAGUAAUAAUGAUAACGAUAAUGACUUCUUAGCUUAUCUUUAUCUCGAGAGCAGGCGUUUGCAUCUCCUUGGAUCGGGGAAAGUCCAAACUCGACAUAAUGUUACGACGCUGUUUUCUAGCAGUGACGCGUUCAUGAUGAGAUGCGUACUAUUACCCCUUAAGCUUUUUUCUACUAUGGCGGAGAUUCGGGAAGAGACCGAGUGCUUUGUGUGGACCCGCAAGGCGUUUAUGGAGUCCCCUCUCGUAUAGCGACUUUUUUUUUAUUGUUGGAUUCUUUCGUAGUCUUUUUUAACCCUCGAGGCCAUUGCACUUGUCUUUCAUUCAUUUUGUAUUCACCCCGAAAUAAUCCCUUUCUUUCUCUCAUCUCAAAGGACCCACAGUGAUAAAAACGAUAAUAUGCAUUGCUUGGAUUAAACGCUACAUAUGUAAUAGUCAUCAUCCUCACUAUCACUCCCGUAUCACCGUCACCUUCAUCAUCGCCACCAUCAGUCAUCAUCCAGUCUCUCUUAGAACACACUCACACUCACUCUCUCGUCUGCGAUGGUGAGCGACCCCUUAGACACUCCUUACCUGAGUCUGGGUAGGUUUUUUGUAUUUGUUUUUGAUAUACUACUUCAUAUCUACACACAUACACACAAGCAGGCACGUUCACACACGCACACACCUCCGUUAAGUCAAUUCUCUGGUGUGUGUGUGUGUGUGCUGUCGAGAGAUCCUCCAGUCAUUAAACAGUAACCCCAGGUGCAGCUGAUAAGAUACACACACAGACACAUUCACACACGCACACACCUCCGUAAAGUCAAUUCUCUGGUGUGUGUGUGCCAUCACGAUCCCCCCCCCGUCGAGAGAUCCUCCAGUCAGUAAACCGUAAGCCCAGGUGCAGCUGAUAAGAUAAAGAAAAAACGUAUUCUCUCCAAUCCGCUUGGCCCAUUUACAUAAUGUUACGACGCUGUUUUCUAGCAGUCACCCCUCGUCAGUGGAGCGUGGACCUUGGCGUGAUACUAGACUAUUAACAACGGCUGCUUCUCCUGUCACUAACCUCACACGGAGUUACUCAUAUACCCGCUCUUGUUGCUGUGUUCGAAGGAGUGUUCUUAACUCUCGCCUAACCUGCUAAUUGCUAUAUCUGGAUCAAUCAAAGCCCUGUGUGUUGAUUUUUUUUUAAUUCGUCAAGUUUCGGAAAUAAAUAAAAACCUGGGAGGGAAAUAUCAGCUGAAGAAUUUAAUGGCAAACAGAGACAGUCACAUCACACAUGCACAAAAGUCCCUGUUUAGAGCUGUCCAAAGCCCUGCGUGUCAUCAGCAUUCGAAAGUAGAGUUGUCGACGUCUCACAUUCAAGUUUAGUUAGAAGGGAAAUAAGAAUCGUAACAGUAGUGGAAGGAAAGAAGAGAGAGGGAGGAUUGAGCCUUCAUUCCCUUUACAUACAGGAUCAGAGUAUUGUGUGUUAACCUAUUUGCCUGGAAGGAGUCUGAUUUGCUUUUGUUUUCAUGUUGACAAGUUUAGUAUUUCUUCCACACGUCUAUUGCCUUGUAGCUGCUUGUUCUUCCUUCCUCUGUUAACCACAUGAUAGAUAGUGCAAGAGUACAUAAGAACAUAGGGAGACUGCAAGAGGCCAAAUCUGUGAGCUAUUCUUGUGGUACUUAUACUAUCGUGGCUCUUCGAAACAUUUAUAUUUUUCCUUUUUAUUGUAGUUUCAAAUCCUGUGGUGUUGUGGUUUUCAUGACAUCACAGUCUCUUAUAUUGAGGUUUGCUGUCCUCUAGAAUUCCUCUACAUGGCUCUUUCAAUCAUUUAUAAUCCUUUCUCUUAUAGAUUUUGAAAGUGCUGUGAUGUUGUGGUUCUCAUGACAUCACGGCAUCUUAUAUUGAGGUUUGCUGUCCUCUAGAAUUCCUCUACAUGGCUCUUUCAAUCAUUUAUAAUCCUUUCUCUUAUAGAUUCUGAAAGUGCUGUGAUGUUGUGGUUUUCAUGACAUCACAGCAUCUUAUAUUGAGGUUUGCUGUCCUCUAGAAUUCCUCUACAUGGCUCUUUCAAUCAUUUAUAAUCCUUUCUCUUAUAGAUUUUGAAAGUCCUGUGAUGUUGUGGUUUUCAUGACAUCACAGUAUCUUAUAUUGAGGUUUGCUGUGCUCUAGAAUUCCUCUACAUGGCUCUUUCAAUCAUUUAUAAUCCUUUCUUUUUUAGGUUUUGAAAGUCCUGUGAUGUUGUUCUCAUGAUGUCACUAUCUUAUAUAGAGGUUUGCUGUGGCAUUGAGUCCUCUACAUGACUCUUUCAAUCAUUUAUAAUCCUUUCUUUUUUGGGUUUUGAAAGUCCUGUAAUGUUGUGGUUCUUAAGACACCACUUCAGUUGGCACAGAUGUUUCCUUUUCUUUUGUUUUUUGACAGUAAAGGAAGCCGGUCAAAGGGCGAAAAUAAAACAACAACAGCAAAAUAAGCCCACUAGUCACUGUUCCUGUAAAGAAAACGAAGAACAAAAGGCCAAAAAAAAGAGAGAGAGGGUCAAUUUCAUCUCUAGUGUUCCUCUAUGCAUUGGUCCAUUUCUUGCAGAGGUUCAGUGCUGUUCUUCCUCCUUCAGCCAUUUCAUCUUUUCUUUGCGUAGCGCCAAUUUUUCUCUUCUGGUCUUUAGUCCUGACACUGUGUACUGUAUGUGAAGUAGGUCAAUGCUCUGCCAUAUCAGUGUGUCUGAGGCUUGUAGUUGCACCACCCUGUACAUAGCGUGUCUGUAUGAACUCGACUCCACUUUAGCGUAAAUCCAAGUGCCAGCGAAUGCGUGGGUGUCUGGUCCUCCGAGGAAGGCCGUCGACGAAGGUUGUGAAGGAUCUGAGCAGCUCUUCCCGGCCGUUGUGUGAGUGUGAGCUGCGGUAGUGUGAGGUGUGCUAACGUCUCACCCCCGGUCUGGUCUGUCGUAAGGUUUUGAUAGCGUGUUAAGGGCUUAGAUUUCCAGGAUUACGUCAUGCUUUUAGUUGGGUGAAAGUUUUUAUACUAGACGAUUCUCUUACAAUGUAAGUAGAAUGUUUUAAGAGCAAGGCAUUGCUAUAAGAGGCGUGGAUCCUCGUGUUCACUCCUUCGUGCUCUCUUAUCUUCAUGAAGUACUACCACUGCUACCGUACUGUGCUCUGUGCAGCGCUAGUGUGCCGCGAGGGUGUGGUUCGUUCAAGACUACACAGCUGCAUGUGGAGGGAGGCCCUGAGACUGUGGCCCGGGACAGUAUGUAGCUUCACUGUGGAACUAGUCAUGGAUUGCUGUGUUGUGCUGCCGGCGAGACCACUCUGGCCUGCAGCGGUCAAAAGUACAUUGGUGUUACUGCGCCAACUUGAAAAGAGACGUUGAGCUGAUCAGAACUAAUGGCAAAAAUGAUUCCCGGGUGCAUGUGUCCACCCAGCCAGCACCCGUCGCCAUGUUGUUAGGUUACCAAGUGUUUAGUUUAGCGCAGGGUGUCUCAGCCUCGGCCAGAGUGCGGCAGCUGCUAAAGGAGCCGUUGUUUUACCUGUUUUUGUUGUCUUCUGUUUCUUUGGGGCAUAAUGUUGAUAUAUUCCUUAAUAGUUCUGUACAUAUGCUUUUACCCAUGCGACAAGUGAACCGUUUAUUGAGUAAGAGUCCUAAACAGUGUGUAAUGAUCAAGUUCCUGAUGCUGAUGGUGAGCCCUGCGGAGGAAGGCUUCAAGGGGGGACUACCCUAGAAGCGCCUCCGUCUGGGUUCGUCAUUUUAAUCCUUUAAGUUUUGAGUUAUUGUGUUGCAUUACAGUUUCAUUUUCGGAGUUCAAACUAAACACAAACUUGACCUUUGUUAUAGGUUCCCCUCGAGCAUCACCUCCUGAAGGAUGAACUGAGGUGUGUCCAUGGCUGUCCUUCAAAACCCAGCACAGUUUAGUCACGCACAGUGCAGUCACAUGCCAGGCUGUUCAUGCUGUGCCGUGGGAUGAACUGAAGCAUAAAAAUCUGUUCUAGGCGUUUGACAAGACUGGCCACAACACUACAUCACUACAUUGAUCACUGGUUCUUAAACUUUCUAUCACUAUACCUCCUCAAGGAAUGGGUCUUCCCUCCCACACCCCUCUUGCAUAUUAGCCCAUGCUCUUAAAAUAAUAGAUACUCCAGCAAAAGAAAUUUCAACUAUUCCUCCAAGGCUCACCCCCCCUGGAAAAAUUUGGGCGGCUUUACUGAUAACCCUAUGCCCUUGUCCACCCAGCAGUGAAUGGGUACCAGGUAUUAAUCGGGGGUUGUGUUCUGUUUCCUUCUCAUAUAAUUCCUUCCUCUUCUGUCUCUCUCCGGCAUAUGACCACAGAUGUGCCUACUAAACAAAACUUUCCAUUUUUCUUUCCCUCCCCCUCUGGAAAUUAUUAAUACCCAAAGUUUAAGAACCACUGACCUAGAUGCAUACAAGUUGUCCUGUGUUACCCAUCAGGAAGAGCGUCAGUUGUUUGCUUGAUGCUUGAGAUGUCCAAGGCUCACAGGGAAACAAGUAGGUCCCCUUGUGUCUACAUUUGGGACUAAGGAACCACCAAGUUAAGGAGUGUGUGUGUGUGUGUGCGGUUUGCCGUGCGCCACCACCCCAAAAUCCUCAUUAUGGUUAAGGAAUGAAACUGUACUGACCUGUGACGCGAGUGUUGAUAUUAAUACACUGGAAGCACUUGGCUGGUUGGACCCACUCAGUGCUCCCGCUCCUCUCCCUCACUGGCACCAAAUCCUGAGUCAUUACUUUGGCAACAAGAUUCUUGAUAUAUUUUGCUUCCUAUCUUUCCCUUUCUUCUUUGUAUCCAUUUUUCUACCUUCACUUCUUUUAUAUAGUAAUUCUUCAAUCAUUUCUCUUGCAAUUUCUCUAUUUUCCGUCAUUACACUCCCUUUCUCUUGCUAUUUAUCCUUGCUCUACAUUUUCGUCAUCAUCAUCUCUCUCUCUCUCUCUCUCUCUCUCUCUCUCGUCUUAAUUGGUGUUUAUGACAAAAUUGUGCACUUGUGGUGAUUAUCCUGUUGUUGAAGUGUGAUAAUGCCAUGUGUGUUCCUGUCCCCUGUCACCUUAUAGAAGAAAGCAGGGUGAGUGGGUGAGGGCGGGGUUGGCAACAAGAUUCAGUAACAUUCUUGACAAAAUUGCUAACUUGUGCUGAUUAUCCUGUUGUUGAAGUGUGAUAAUGCCGUGCUGUGGGUUCCUGUCCCUCGUUGCCUGAAUAAAAGAGACGAGUGAGUGGGUGAGGGCGGGGUGCAGGGAGCGAGUGGGCCAGUGGGUGGUAAUCUUCCAUGACGAGGUUCAAGGUUCCAUGGUACAUUUCUUCCGUGUGUUGGGCGGCGCCGGGUCGUCCCUUCGUAGCAAUAACGAGCGCUUGGCUUCACAUGAAUACAUAGUUGGUCUGUUUUCAAUCCAAAAAUAAAGCUGUAAGUUCCAUGAAGUUGCCGGAUUGUUUCAGUGGUAUGUAAAUUUUAGAUUUUAUGUAAAAAUACAAAGUCUUUAAUAUAUUAUUGAUAUAC